GAUGAACGCUGGCGGCGUGCCUAACACAUGCAAGUCGAACGGGGUUAUUUAGGAAGCAUUGAGUAGUUUACUAUGAGGUGUGGAAUAGAUAACUUAGUGGCGGACGGGUGAGUAACGCGUGAGGACCUGUCCAUUGCAGGGGGACAACAGCUGGAAACGGCUGCUAAUACCGCAUACGCGUGGAGCGAUCUGCGUGAAAGGAAUUUAAUCCGGCAAUGGAGGGACUCGCGUCCUAUCAGCUAGUAGGUGAGGUAAGAGCUCACCUAGGCGAAGACGGGUAGCCGGCCUGAGAGGGCGCACGGCCACACUGGGACUGAGAUACGGCCCAGACUCCUACGGGAGGCAGCAGUGGGGAAUAUUGGGCAAUGGGGGGAACCCUGACCCAGCGACGCCGCGUGGGUGAAGAAGUCUUUCGGGACGUAAAGCCCUUUUGUGCGGGAAGAAGGAAGUGACGGUACCGCACGAAUAAGCCCCGGCAAACUACGUGCCAGCAGCCGCAGUAACAC
rnacentral:rRNA from 1 species